UCUUAGGAUGAGCAAAGAAAGUGGUUUCUUGAGAUGGAAACUACUCUUGGUGAAGAUGCUGUGAA
rnacentral:pre_miRNA from 1 species